rnacentral:rRNA from 1 species
UGGCGGCGUGCUUAACUACAUGCAAGUCGAACGAAGUACACUUAAGUACGGAGUUACUUACGGUUUGUAAGUCUUAUUUGUACUGAGUGGCGGACGGGUGGAGUAACGACGUGGGUAACCGUGCCUCAUACAGGGGGAGUAACAAGUUAGAAAUGACUGCUAAUACCGCAUAAGCGCACGGUCUCGCAUGGGACAGUGUGAAAAACUCCGGUGGUAUGAGAUGGACCCGCGUCUGAUUAGCUGGUUGGUGAGGUAAGGGGCGUCACCAAGGCGACGAUCAGUAGCCGGCCUGAGAGGGUGAACGGCCACAUUGGGACUGAGACACGGCCCAAACUCCUACGGGAGGGCAGCAGUGGGGAAUAUUGCACAAUGGGGGAAACCCUGAUGCAGCGACGCCGCGUGAAGGAAGAAGUAUUUCGGUAUGUAAACUUCUAUCAGCAGGGAAGAAAAUGACGGUACCUGACUAAGAAGCCCCGGCUAACUACGUG